GUAGGGUCUCCGUGACCCUCCCGGCCUCCCGCCCCCGGGCGGGUCGGCGCCCGCCGGAGGAUAACCAAACUCUGAUUUAACGACGUUUCUUCUGAGUGGUACAAGCAAAUAAUCAAAACUUUUAACAACGGAUCUCUUGGUUCUGGCAUCGAUGAAGAACGCAGCGAAAUGCGAUAAGUAAUGUGAAUUGCAGAAUUCAGUGAAUCAUCGAAUCUUUGAACGCACAUUGCGCCCGCCAGCAUUCUGGCGGGCAUGCCUGUUCGAGCGUCAUUUCAACCCUCAAGCUCUGCUUGGUGUUGGGGCCCUACAGCUGAUGUAGGCCCUCAAAGGUAGUGGCGGACCCUCCCGGAGCCUCCUUUGCGUAGUAACUUUACGUCUCGCACUGGGAUCCGGAGGGACUCUUGCCGUAAAACCCCCAAUUUUCCAAAGGUUGACCUCGGAUCAGGUAGGAAUACCCGCUGAACUUAAGCAUAU
rnacentral:rRNA from 1 species